CCUACGGGUGGCAGCAGUGAGGAAUUUUGCGCAAUGGGCGAAAGCCUGACGCAGCGACGCCGCGUGGAGGAUGAAGGCCUUCGGGUUGUAAACUCCUGUUAGAGGGGAAGAAGCCCCGCAAGGGGUUGACGGUACCCUCAGAGGAAGCCCCGGCUAACUACGUGCCAGCAGCCGCGGUAAUACGUAGGGGGCAAGCGUUACUCGGAAUUACUGGGCGUAAAGGGUGUGUAGGCGGCCGAGCAAGUCGAAGAGAAAAUCCCAGGGCUCAACCCUGGAAUUGUCUUCGAUACGGCUGGGCUGGAGGGUAGUGGAGGAGAGCGAAAUCCCCGGUGGAGGGGUGAAAUGCGUAGAUAUCGGGAGGAACACCAGAGGCGAAGGCGGCUCUCUAUGCUACUCCUGACGCUGAGGCACGAAAGCUGGGGGAGCAAACGGGAUUAGAUCCCCCGUUAGU
rnacentral:rRNA from 1 species